AUUGAACGCUGGCGGCAGGCCUAACACAUGCAAGUCGAGCGAGCGGCGGACGGGUGAGUAAUGUAUGGGGACUGCCCGCUAGCGGGGGAUAACUACUGGAAACGGUGGCUAAUACCGCAUACUAUCGGAUAACCCAUAUGGGAUUAGCUAGUAGGUGGGGUAAAGGCUCACCUAGGCGACGAUCUCUAGCUGGUCUGAGAGGAUGAUCAGCCACAAUGGGACUGAGACACGGCCCAGACUACUACGGAGGAAGAAGUGGGGAAUAUUGCAAGAUGGGGGCAAGCCGGAUGCAGCCAGGCGGCGUGGAUGAGGAAGGCCUGAGGGUUGUAAAGUACUUUCAGCGGGGAGGCGUUACCCGCAGAAGAAGCACCGGCUAACUACGUGCCAGCAGCCGCGGUAAUAC
rnacentral:rRNA from 1 species